rnacentral:other from 1 species
GCGCAAGGAUUCGAUGAUGUAGCAGGAUGGCUCAUCAGCAGGGAUUGAAUCAGGACGAUGUGCAGGAUGCUCGGACACCAUCAGGAUGAUGGCAAGGACACCGCUUACGGAACAAGUGAUGAACGCGUCUCAGGAUAGAGCACGCACGAAGGAAUCUUAGGACACCGCUAAGCUGGCGAUGUAGGGAUUAGGCAUAGGGAAACGCCACUAUUAUGGAUGAUGCAUGGAGCAACAUAAGCGGCCGGAAUGCUGCGAGUAAGGAUAAGGCCCCGAUACUUUUGUGUCGGGGCUUUUCUUG